AAUAGAUACCCGGUAGUACCACACCGUAAACGUUGGCGCUAGGUGUGGGACCUAUUCCAUGGGUUCCGUGCCGUAGCUAACGCAUUAAGCGCCCCGCCUGGGGAGUACGGCCGCAAGGCUAAAACUCAAAGGAAUUGACGGGGGCCCGCACAAGCGGCGGAGCAUGCGGAUUAAUUCGAUGCAACGCGAAGAACCUUACCUGGGUUUGACAUACACCGGAAGCCUCCAGAGAUGGGGGUCUACUUUGACUACUGGUGUACAGGUGGUUGCAUGGCUGUCGUCAGCUCGUGUCGUGAGAUUGUUGGGUUAAGUCCCGCAACGAGCGCAACCCUCGUUCCAUGUUGCCAGCACGUAACUGGUUGGGACUCGAUGGGAGACUGCCGGGGUCAACUCGGAGGAAGGUGGGAGUGACGUACAAGUACAUCAGUCGCCCCGUUAUGUCCGAGGGUCUUCCACGCAUGCUAACAAGUCGGUCCGGUAACAAAAGGGGUCUGCGUACUCCCGU
rnacentral:rRNA from 1 species